rnacentral:rRNA from 1 species
UACGAAGGGUGCAAGCGUUAGUCGGAAUUACUGGGCGUAAAGCGCGUGUAGGCGGCCAGGUAAGUCCGUUCUGAAAGCCCGGGGCUCAACCCCGGGAGGCGGAUGGAUACUGCUUGGCUCGAGUCCGGAAGAGGCGAGUGGAAUUCCCGGUGUAGCGGUGAAAUGCGUAGAUAUGCGGAGGAACACCGAUGGCGAAGGCAAUCCCCUGGGCCUGUACUGACGCUCAUGCACGAAAGCGUGGGGAGCAAACAGG